UGGCGUGCGGUUUGACGACUGUCCGAGCCACUGCGGAAGGCGUGUCCUUCAGUUGCGCUUGGGAGAAAGUCCCCAGAUGAGAUGCAGAGAGUGCAAUCGCGAAAGCGAACUGAUCAAGUCGCAAUCAAUCGACGGUGAAGCCUUGGCUGAGUCGCUGCCCGCUUUGAUCAUCCCGUCACAGCACAGUUAUGUUGGUCGGUCAUUCCAUGACUCAAUUCAAUGGGGCUUACCAAUCUUACGCC
rnacentral:RNase_MRP_RNA from 1 species